UGUUGUCUUUUCUGGUUUCAGCUUUCCAAAAAACCAUUCAGUGAUAAGCUUGGCUUUCAUUUAAUAUGUCCCAUGUCUUCCCUUAUAUGCUCUAUAACUUACGGCUAUUUUUUGGCUUAAUAUUCUUCUGUAGGCUGCAAAUUGUUUUGAUUUGCUUUCUACAAUACUGUGUGCUGAUUUGGAGAAAACAAUGCUGCUUAUUUGAGCAGGUGUUUUGAUUUGGGAGAGGGGAAAAAGAAAACAAUUUUUCUUGUGUGUCUGGCUAGACACCUAGAAUGAUCGGAGUAAUGUUUCUAUAUUGCUGUGGGUUUUUUGUUUGUUUAUUUUGUUUUGGUUUUUUUGAGUUGGUACCCAAACUAUGGGGGUAGUAAGAGUUUAAAGUUAACAACUAUAUUACAGAGAAAAAUUGACAGUAAGGAGAAAGCUUAGGGAAACUGGAAAAGAUAGAAGUAGCAGGAAAUAUAGUUGGCAGACAGAUGGUGCAACUUGCUUUCUUUUUGAAAAGCAGAAGUAUUGGAGGCAAAUGGAUUUUGAUUGUUAACACCCUGUAUAAACUCAUAUAUAAACUCUUAAGCAGUAUUAUUUGAAUGUCUCUUUUAUAUAAACUGCAGUGAAUUUGGAUGUUUUUUAGAGAAUAGCUACUUUCAUUAUCUGUAACUAAAACUCUUACUUAUAGCUUGAUUAAUGUUUGACAUCCUAAAUCAACUUUUAUUUAAGUGUAUUGAAUACUUUCAUCAUAUUGCCAAGUGAAUGACCAAAUAGUCCUCUGUGGUACCCUUGUCAUCAAAGGCAGCUUUGAGGCGGACAUGACAUGUUCCCUUUUUAGAGGGUUUGGUUGUGUAUAUUGCAUUCUCAUGACAGCAGCUUGCUUUUGGAGAAAAAUGUAGUGGUAAUAAAAGUCUGCAUGUGCUAUUUGGAUAUGCCUUCAUGUCUGUCUUUCCUUCAAGCACUUGUAUCCUUAAAGAGGAUCCUUCAGCUGAUUUCUUUUCUACACUGAAAGCUUUCUGUGUUUUAUUGAUUGAAAAUGUAACUUCUCUGAACUAAAUAUGGUUGCAGGAACAGAUUCCGAUAUCUUGGUUAUGCUGGAUUUGUUUUGGUCUCAUAGGUUUUUGAAUGUCUGAUGGUCUGUCUAUUCCUUAUUUAAAUUAUGGGGAGCAGAUGUUAUGGCUUCAAGCAAACAAAAGCCUGGACAUACUGUAGCACAAGGUUUUGGGCUUUCUUUGUGACCCAGGCACACAAGCUUCUUUUCUAGCUCUGAAUCGGUUUAAAACAUGUCUCUCUUCCCCCCACCCCCCCCCCAAUCUCUCUUUCCUUCUCUUUGUUGGAGCGUUAGUGUCAUUCACAAUAGCUCAGGAUAAGCUGUAUGCCUUUGCAAUGGGCAGCCAUCUGAAAGGUGCAGAAAAAUUCUGCCCACAAAGUGUUUAUUAAUUAAAAAGGAAUUACAAGUGUCUCUUUGUAAUUUAAAUGGAUUUAGCCGCAUCUAUUAUUUUAUCAGGAUACUGUUCUAGUUUUUUUUCAUAGAAAUGUAUUUUCUUUUUUUAAUGUAAACCAUUGAUUAUGGAGAAAACAGAUAUUUUCAAGUAAAUCUUAAACAUAUGCCUGGAGUGUAAGUAACUCUUUGAAGGUACUUAACCCAAUAAUGCCUGCUUAGGUUUUUGGGAACUCAUGCAAGUAUUUGGGGCAUUUUUAAUCUGUGCAGCAAAUAUAGGUUUGAUAUGUUGCCGAUUGAGUUAUGCUUCAGAUAACGAUUCAAACGAUAUGAAUUCAAGCAGGGCAUAAUUCUGUAUUAAAAUCAGAAUUAAACAUCGGUAGUGUUAAAGAUGUGUGUUUGGUGCUGCAUAUUAAAUUUCAGAGUUUUUCUUUUCAGCUGAUUAUACUGUGUUAAGAAAAUACUGGACCAUAAUGGGUUUCAAGCUCCUUGGGGCAGGGAAGGCAUAUUUCUACAUAUUUUGUGGAGCAUGUUACACAGUGGGACUCAGAUCUUGAUUAUAGAUUUCUGGGCUGUAGCAUGGUAUAUGUUUGUAGGAGCAUUGUAACUUGGAGCGCUACAUUUAUGUCAUUGGGAGCUGUAGUCCACUGUUUUUCCUUUAAUGUGCUGGCACUCAGCAAGGUUAAUUCAGUGGGUACCUUUUCAUUUGGUUAUAGAACUUGGCAAGUGCUGUGGCUGAAGAACAUGCUUUCUCUUUGUUGCUGAGUUUGUAAACAUUCUUACAUAGCUGUAUCUUGUUCCUCAGCACUCAGAGCCCUGCUGGCUUUUGUUUUCCACUUCAGUUAGUUUUCCUCUCUUUCUCUGAAUGUACAAGACUUGAAGUCUUGAAUCUUAAGAAAGCUCCCUCCUGUUACAGUGCUUUGAGACCAGCUGACCCAACGGUAUUGUCAUUCUCUGUAGUGGGACUCUUGGGAAGCUGGUGGAUUGCUAACUGAAAAAUGUGAUCCCUCAAGAGGGUAAGGAUAGCUCUUGUGGUUCCUGGGUGAAAAAUAUGUUUGGUAGUGCAUCUGUGAGGGCUUUAUUUUGGUUGCACUGAGAAGUAAGUUAGAAGCAGUUCAUGGUUGCUUUAAGCCAGUCUAAAAGUGGCCUGCUACUGAAAAAAUCGUCCUGCCUCCUCACUUAAUUGUGUAAUUUGCUACGUGGACUGCCAAAUUUGAGGAACCUUUCUGUCUGACAAAACAUCACAAAAGUCAGUAUUUUGCACUCAUUAGAUGAUAAAUCCCUGUCAGCACAACAUAGGUGACACAGUUCCCAUCUGGGAAAGCUCAGCUAUAGAUCAGGAGGGAUAUGGGUACACGGAACUGUCUACAUACAAAGUUUGUACUGACUAUUGUAUUGUCUGCUUGCACUACCGAUGCUCUGAUGGUGAGAUGUUUUAGUAUACUUUGAGUAAAAAAAAUGCUAUUGUUAAUAUUGGCCAACACAGAACCCAACUUUACCUCUUUGCACUUUCUGUAGGUAUUUUAUACUUGAUAUAAGUAUGUGCUGUUGGCCCCAAGUUUGCGAUUUUUGGUUCUAACUGUAUAUUCUUAUAACUUAGAUGGGAUUUAUCCUGCUCUUCUGCACUACUUGCCUUAUGAAGGAAAAUCUGGAAAGGAGAGCGAGUCUAAGCAAAAUUUGUAUCACUUAUUUUGGUACCAGUGAUCUUGUAGAGUUCGUUACUGAACUGCAAAUCUUUAAUUAAUGAUAUGUAAAUAUAUUGUAAUGAUCACAUUUGCAUACUGAGUGAAGCUUCAGUACCUUAGGUUGUGAUGUAUUUUAAUUAAAGAUUAAUUAGAAAUGAUGGGAAUUUCACUUUGCUUAGUAUAAUUAUUUUACAUAUUUGAUGAAUAUCUUGUAGCUGAUGUGCCAGGAAAUGCACAAUAUUAUAUUAGUACAUCUGACAGGAGUGGCUCUUAAGGCUUUUUGAUCCACAGUAGGGUUUUUUUAAGCUUUCAUAAAAGUGAUGGAUCGUGAAAGAUUUAAGCAUACUGUUAAGCAAGGGCUUUCUAAAUCAUGCUUAAAACAUUGACUAUGCCGUAACUGUUUUAGUGGAAGAGCGAGCACUUACUCAGCGUUCAGCUGUCCUCUCAACAGGUAGGAAAUAAAAUGGAUAAUUUAGUCUUAAUUUGUAUCUUCUUGAAGCUUGUAUUAAAAACAGCCAAAGAAUUACAUAGUUAAUGAGUUUCUAUAAUUCUGUGUGUGAACUGUUGGGAGUAGCUGUAUUUUUUUUUCCCUGAGGGUUUUAUUGUACCCCCACUUCAGUGCCUUAGUGUCGCGACUCAAAGCCUAGAAUGUUAAUUACGAGUCAUCAUAUGUUAUGUUUCUUAAACUACGGUGGGAAUUUCAAAAAUCUGAUUCCUUCCCCCCCCCCCCCCCCCCCGGUUAUUAGGGACAUGGUCAAAAUGCUGCCAAGAGGUAUGCUUUCUGGAGAAACAUUUUUUUCUGGCCUUCCUCUGAGUAUUGUGAGCCAGUAAGUAUUAAACAGUGCUUAAGGGUAGGCAUAUGUAACAUGUUGGCAUUAGUUCAGAUGCUUUUUUUAAUCCUGGUAACUCUUUUCUUUUGGAAUCCUUUUUGUUUAGUGAAAUCUAGUUCUGACAGAGGCCACAUAGACUGCAGACUCCUGCUGGCAUAAUUAUCAGGACUGUAUGCAGAAAUGUGAUGCCUGACCCAGAGAGCAUGCCAGAAAUUUGUAGGGUAAAUGUGGCUACCUCAACAACAUUUGUGCCAUUACAGCAUAUACUUCUGGAAUCAUUUUUACUAGACUUUCAAAAUGCCGUUUUCUGGUAUCUUGUGAUGGUGCACGUUCUCGUUUCCUUGCUCACAGUCUAUGCACUAGGUGGGUCAGUAAGAUUAGGAAAACUGCAGCCGAAACUCUUAAGCUCUUGGCUGGUCUCCAGGGUAAAACGCAUACAGUAAGGCCUUAAUAACUGCUUUUAUCUCAGUAGAAAAUGCAGGGAGCUUUAAAUAUUCUGUUGCUCAUUCGUGGAUUUUCCUAACCUGAGGUGGAGGGAAGUGCAUUGACCAGUGGAUUUUUGUGAUGUUUCCAUUGAGUGCUGUCCUACAAAGUCGUGAAUGCCGACAUUGCCUUUAAGCAUAUUGGACAAACAAAUGUGUGUGGUGAGCACUGGUGGCAGGGGGUGAGACUGGCCUACAUUUAAACAACAACAAAAAAGAAAAGUAGCUGCUGCUUAACAAAGACCAGCAAAGGGAAUGAGUACUGCUAAUAUUUUGGUAGUUUGUUUUGAAGAAUUUCCGACUUCUUCAGUAACAAAGGGACUGUUUGUUAUAUCCAGACAGCGUCAUUGACCAAAGGGACUCAAAGGUUGUAGCUAGCUAAAUAGCCUUGCACAAGCUGCUUUGAACAUAGCACUCCUCAGUGGCCACAGUUUUGCACUCCCAUGUUGUCAUCUUUUGGUAAAGAAAUGAAUAUAGCUGUUGUACUUGAAAAUUUGAAUGGGAUACUAGUUACAGCAACCAUAGUUAUGAAUUCAUUGAAAGGUAGUUUUAAGUGAAUCUAUUGUAACUUGUGAUCUGUACAAAUAUCAUUAGCUGAAAAGAUGAUACAAGGAAUAAAAAGUAAAGUUCAAGCCAAAGUAUCCUUCAAGGAGUUAAUAGCUUUAAUUUAAGAGUAAUAUCUGUGGCAAUGAUUCCUAUAGAACUUGUAUUUUAACUGCAAUGUAAAUUAAGGUAUAAUUAUGCCAAAAAAUGUUUAAAAUCAACCUGAUGCAGUCAGUUAAAAAUACUGAGCUUCUUAUACUCAUUGAUUCUUAGAUCUGUUCAUCUUCAUAGUGUUCCCCUAAAUAAACAUUUGAACCACUAGUUUGGAAAUGCAGUUUACGAGAUGUUAAUGAUAGUUAACUCCUCUUUAGUUACUUGUGACUUACUAGAGCUAGCCAAUCAGAUUCUUCCCCUGAGAUGGUAGAAGUGUUUUUAUACGUGCUUUUCAACAGUCAACUUGAGAUGAGCUUAUGUGUAAUUGAUGAUAACUAAUGUCUAAUUACCAUAAUUAGACAAGUGACAUAAAAUUAAGCUGCAGCUGGGAGCUUGACUUCAACAUGAGGUACUCUGAUAUGCAUCAUAAUGUGCAUAAAAAGAGGGUUGGCAGAAGUGCAUUCAAAUAAGAAUGUGACACACAAAUAUCUGUUCCAUUUUAUACUUGCCAGUCCCACAGAUAGUUUAAUGUGAAUUUUAUUAAAAAGACUUGGCAGCAAAUGACCUCUGGCAUGCUCUUUAAUGGGUCAAGGCCUUUCGGAAAAUGGCAACUGGCAAUUUUAAAAGUCAGACGCUUUCUACAUUUGUUUUGUUUCCUUAAAUGUUCAUUCAGUAAGGUACCAUCAGAUGUAUGGUAUUUUUGAAGAUAUAUUAGUUUUAAUUCCAUAAUGACUUAGAAAAGCCACUAACUUUUUAAAUACUCAACAGUUCCCUUAUUAUCUUGAAUUGAACAGUUGCACAUAAUGGAAAUCCCAUUUACUACAUUGUACCUACCUCUGCUUUACCUUUUUCUACUUGCAAUAAGACUGGGGAUGUUUUGGAGAAGACCUUGAUUACUGUGACAGCAAAAGCCUGUAGCUGUCCCAAAUUACCUCUUCAGAACUGUGUAGCAACUUCUGUAUAGCCUGCAAAAUGUCAGAGUUCAACAAUGCUGUCUUUGCAAUCUGGUACUGAUUACUGUUGAGGACCGUCCAAGAAGCCGUGCAGUAGGCUGAUACGUGGUAAUCUGCUCUGUAAGAAUCUUGUUCUAAUUUUCACAGACUGCCUGGAGUGCUAGUGUGAAGUUUUAAAUCUCUUCUAAACUUGUAUGUAGUGCAGACUAUAGUGACUCUGAGUACUCUUUUUAUCCGUAUGCAUCUGAAAACUCUCCUUACGCUUCGUU